rnacentral:rRNA from 1 species
AUUGAACGCUGGCGGCAGGCCUAACACAUGCAAGUCGAGCGGUAGCACAGAGAGCUUGCUCUCGGGUGACGAGCGGCGGACGGGUGAGUAAUGUCUGGGAAACUGCCUGAUGGAGGGGGAUAACUACUGGAAACGGUAGCUAAUACCGCAUAACGUCACAAGACCAAAGUGGGGGACCUUCGGGCCUCAUGCCAUCAGAUGGGCCCAGAUGGGAUUAGCUGGUAGGUGGGGUAACGGCUCACCUAGGCGACGAUCCCUAGCUGGUCUGAGAGGAUGACCAGCCACACUGGAACUGAGACACGGUCCAGACUCCUACGGGAGGCAGCAGUGGGGAAUAUUGCACAAUGGGCGCAAGCCUGAUGCAGCCAUGCCGCGUGUGUGAAGAAGGCCUUCGGGUUGUAAAGCACUUUCAGCGGGGAGGAAGGCAUUAAGGUUAAUAACCUUAGUGAUUGACGUUACCCGCAGAAGAAGCACCGGCUAACUCCGUGCCAGCAGCCGCGGUAAGAC